AAAACUCAGAACAGUCGGGAAACUUCCCAGGAGGGCCUUCAGCAACGACACCUCCAGGAAGUCACAAAAACACCCAGGGCAACAUCUAAGGAACUGCAGGCCUCUUUGGCCUCAUCUAAGCUCAGCUACACGAACAUUCCUGCCCAUUGAUUCUCAUGCCACGCCAGGGUCGCAUCUGGAAAUGUCACCAGUUAAUCCGAACACCACUUAAAGCCGUAACACAGAUUCAUGUAACCAUCCAGGAAAGAAGAUCUUUGUUGGAUUUAAAAAGAUGCUGCAAGGACGUCCACUGCCUGUUCUGUCACUCAACUGUGUUUCACCCAAAAAGGGUGAGCAAGGUCACAGCCCGUUUAGAGGUCCAUUUCAACUGUGCAGUUUUCCAUGAAGGUAUAUACAAGAUGAUCCGCUCUACCGACAUGCGGUCAAUGUUGGCAGCCAUGUCCAAUACAACAAAGUUCAUCCCAGCAUGCCCAUCCACACGAAGGGUAACGUGUUCAUGCAGCCCAUCCAUCCCACCAUGGAGGUUCAACACCAGCAGCAGAACAGAAGGACGCUGUGGAUCCUCCACAGCCCCAUCCGUCCCACAUCACCCAAAGAGACGUUCUGUUACAAUGAUGACAUGAAAUCAAUUACAAUGUAAUAGAUUAGAGUUUAACUUACAUUUUCUCAGGGAACUUUGAUUUAUAUAUAUAAUACAGCAUAGAAUAAAAUAAUGAAAUACAUCACAGAAUACAUGUGUUGCAUAGGUACAUUGACCGGGGAGAUGAACCCUGUGUGUGUGUAAGGAAUUUACGAGUAUGAGUAGAGGAUUUACACAUGUUAAGUAGUUAUAUUCAACAGAUGUGGUUGAAUGGUGUUAAAGGGACUAGAGAAAUCCACAAGCCUGGCAUGUGCUUUUGGUUGUUCCAGAUGGAAGUGUAUAUGAUGAAUUAAUGUAAGGGCAGCAUCAUCUUCACUUUUUCUGUUCCUGUAGGCAAACAAGUUGAUCUGCCACGUUCUGGACUGUCUCUUGUAGUUGCGAAAGAACCAGAUGUUUAAAACUCUUCAUCACCACUGAUGUAAGAGCUACAGUUCAGAAGUCAUUGGGAAGUAUGGGUCUGCUCUUUGGAACAAGGCAGAUGGUAGUGGUCUUCCAUAGAGCUGAACUGUAUGUUCCUCCGAGGACCAGUUGAAAAGUUCACAGAAGACAGGGGCCAGUUGUUUGUAGCAGGUAUUCAGGAGCUUAUUACUGAUGUUAUGAGGACAUGAUGCUUUGUUGACUUUUGCUCUCUGGUGAAGUUAAGCCCAUCAGUGCUCAUGUUGCAGGGUUUACAUUGGUUCUCUGUAGUCCCUGACAAUGUUUUGAGGUCUCUCCAGACAUCACACAUCUGUCCACAUUAAAAUGUAUUAUGCACCUUUUCUUAAUCAAAUUACACUGGAUCUUGACACCUAUGGAAUAUAUACAUUUGUUUCCACUGUAAUGUUAUUUUAAGUCUCUCACAGUUGGAGUGUACCUAUGACAAAAAUUAGAGACCUGUAGGUAGGAAAACCUGCAAAAUCGGCAGUGUAUCAAAUAGAUGGAGGUUAUGUACAUGCAAAAAACAGAGAUUUGCAGAGAUUGAGCGAGUGGAUAGUGUGCACAUAGCAUUAGUCCUUUCCUAUUCAAGGAAACUUGAAACCCUAUGGUCAACCUUGCAAUCACCAUCAACAUUUACAUUGUCUUUGGGACAUGGUCAUGGGUGGAGGUCUGUUCAUCCUCUUCCUCCAGACCACCCAGGAAACGGCCACCAGUAUCAGUAGGAGAAGAAUCCCAACCGCUGCGCCAGAAACAGUAACGAGGACUGGAGAGGCUACAGAAACAAACAUUACAGAUCUGCACAUUUGAAGACCUGGUUUCAGUCGCUGUCUCAACCUUUUCCACUUCUGUACAUUACGAGAGGGACCAUAAAAUGCUACAUAUCUUAGUUAGCAUAAACAUUUCCACCAGGAUAAUGCAUGUCAGUCAAGGUAAAAUCUAGUGAUAUGCAUGCAUACGGCACAGAAAAUCGAAAAUGUCAAGUUUCUUUGACAUUCCUCAGAAAAUGUAUCUUAUCGUAAACAAGCCCUGAGUGAUAUCGGCCUACCUAGCAUCUAUCGAGUCUUUACACACAAAUCAUAAGUAUGUUAAUGUAGUAAUGCCCCUUGAAAAACAUUCAGCUUUUACCUUGAAUGCUGACUGUCAGUAACUCUGAUCUAGUAGAAUGAAAGGUUCGGGUGGUAACGUUGACUUCAUAGCUACAGCUGUAGUUCCCCUCAUGUUUAUACUCUGCAACAGGGAAGUGAAAGGAGGCAGAGUGGUUGACUGCUGGCUUAGUCUCAGUCCUGUUGGUCCCAGAGAAGUCCAGAUGGAAGAGGCCCCCAGGAUACUGUAGCUGAAUGGAGCAGGUGAUGGAGAAGAUGUGGCCCCUGGUAACCUCUGACUGCUUAGAUCCCCAGACCAUUGAACCAUUUGGAGCAGUGAGGGAAAUUCUAGGUGGUGGAAGGAUAACUAUGGAAAUAAAAUAGUAUUUUAAUGUUUGCAAUGCUGUAAUACAGAAUUAUUCCACUGAGUGCAACAUAGUCCAGUAGAUACACAAUGUAUAGACAAAUGGGGUCUGAGAGCGACCAGUGACCCAAUGGGUUGAGUGGAUGAGGUGCAGAUGUCAUUAAAUGCUUUCAAAGUGUCUCCCCAGAGACCCAGUUUCUCAUUUCAACUCAUUUUGGUAAAUGAGGUGCAAAGAAAAUGUAUCUGGACCCCUAAAAAUCAGCUGGGCUCACGAUCUGGGCCCCUUUUUCUGAGGCCUCUAUUACCUCAGUCUCUAUCAGCUGCUUGUUAAACCUCUCUUCACAAACAUCUGUAAUCCUAUAGGAUUAGAAAGAGACAUUCCGCUUAUCAAAGGGGUUGACAAGCUAAACAUUCUUAGAGACUCCCAAUCCUA
rnacentral:lncRNA from 1 species